rnacentral:rRNA from 1 species
GAACGUUGGCGGCGUGGAUUAGGCAUGCAAGUCGAACGGGCCCGGUUUUCGGACCGGGUCAGUGGCGCAAGGGUGAGUAAGACGACGGUAACCAACCCCAUGGUCGGGUAUAGCCGCGGGAAACUGCGGGUAAUCCCCAGCGACGUAAGAGGCCGGCAUCGGCCUCUUACCAAAGCUCCGGCGCCGUGGGACGGGCCGUUGUGGUAUUAGGUAGUUGGCGGGGUAACGGCCCACCAAGCCGAUGAUGCCUACCGGGCGUGCGAGCGUGGCCCGGCACACUGGGACUGAGACACUGCCCAGGCUCCUACGGGAGGCUGCAGUCGAGAAUCUUCGGCAAUGGGCGCAAGCCUGACCGAGCGACGCCGCGUGGAGGAUGAAGGCCUUCGGGUUGUAAACUCCUGUCGAGGGGGAGGAAGGCGCAAGCUUGACCGAUCCCUGGAGGAAGCACGGGCUAAGUUCGUGCCAGCAGCCGCGGUAAGACGAACCGUGCGAACGUUAUUCGGAAUCACUGGGCUUAAAGCGCGUGUAGGCGGAUGGGAACGUCGGUAGUUGAAAGCCCCCGGCUCAACCGGGGAAGUGGUGCCGAA